rnacentral:rRNA from 1 species
AUUGAACGCUGGCGGCAGGCUUAACACAUGCAAGUCGAGCGGAGAUGAGGUGCUUGCACCUUAUCUUAGCGGCGGACGGGUGAGUAAUGCUUAGGAAUCUGCCAUUUAGUGGGGGACAACAUUCCGAAAGGAACGCUAAUACCGCAUACGUCCUACGGGAGAAAGCAGGGGAUCUUCGGACCUUGCGCUAAAUGAUGAGCCUAAGUCGGAUUAGCUAGUUGGUGGGGUAAAGGCCUACCAAGGCGACGAUCUGUAGCGGGUCUGAGAGGAUGAUCCGCCACACUGGGACUGAGACACGGCCCAGACUCCUACGGGAGGCAGCAGUGGGGAAUAUUGGACAAUGGGCGGAAGCCUGAUCCAGCCAUGCCGCGUGUGUGAAGAAGGCCUUUUGGUUGUAAAGCACUUUAAGCGAGGAGGAGGCUACUGAGACUAAUACUCUUGGAUAGUGGACGUUACUCGCAGAAUAAGCACCGGCUAACUCUGUGCCAGCCGCCGCCGUAA